UACAGAGGUGGCAAGCGUUGUUCGGAAUUACUGGGCGUAAAGGGCGCGUAGGCGGUCUUGUAAGUCUUGUGUGAAAUCCCUCGGCUUAACCGGGGAACUGCAUCUGAUACUGGAUGGCUUGAGAUUGGGAGAGGGAUGCGGAAUUCCAGGUGUAGCGGUGAAAUGCGUAGAUAUUGGGAGGAACACCAGUGGCGAAGGCGGCUCACUGGACCGGUACUGACGCUGAGGCGCGAAAGCGUGGGUAGCAAACAGG
rnacentral:rRNA from 1 species